UGGCCCAACAUUUCUCACAUCCCAAAUAUUAAUAUAGAUCGGCAUGAUUUUCAACAGCAUGGCCUCUAUUUAUUGGAAGAAGAAGGAGGCUCCUCUGCUUCCACGGGUUUGUACUUUCUACCUUCAGCCCUUUUUUUUCUUUGAAUUUUAAAUUAGCUUCAAAAAAUCAUUAGGGAGGCCAAAGUAUUCUACAGUGUCAUAUAAAAAAUAUCAUCCACUUCUUCUACAAUAAAUACCUGUCUCUAUCUGGUAAGUUGAACCAUUACUUGCUCUGUUCUGUCUUUCAUUUUAUCUCUCCAAGUUUAGGACUUGUGUUAUGAUUCUAUAUGCAGAGAUACAACUGUGGAAGGAUGAUUUUACUAAGCUUUGACUAUCCAUGGGAUGAUAGAACAUAUUGCCAGUUCCAACACCAGAAUUAUAUGUUGCUCUUGCACACAGCAAACCUCUUUCUACUUCAGAAUUUUAGAAAG
rnacentral:misc_RNA from 1 species